rnacentral:rRNA from 1 species
GCUUGACUGUAGCUUGUAAUUGGGUUCGGGCUUUUUUUGCGCAGCCUAGGUGGGAGGCAACGAUGAUUUUUUUCCGGAAAAAUUUGAGCCGUUAGUGAGAGACCACUCUGAAAAGGCUAGAAUCCUAAUAAUGAUCCUUGAAUCAGGACAUUUGACAGUUGCAGGUGGGCAGUUUUACUGGGGCGGUAUUCUCCUAAAAAGUAACGGAGGGGUGCAAAGGUUCCCUCAAGCUGGACGGAAAUCAGCUUAAGAGUGUAAAGGCAAAAGGGAGCUUGACUGCAAGACCUACAAGUCGAGCAGGGGCGAAAGCCGGCCUUAGUGAUCCGACGGUACCACGUGGAAGGGCCGUCGCUCAACGGAUAAAAGUUA